rnacentral:tRNA from 1 species
GCUUUAGUAGCUCAGUUGGUUAGAGCACCUGACUGUUAAUCAGGAAGUCGCAGGUUCAAGUCCUGCCUGAAGCG